GGUUAAGCGACUAAGCGUACACGGUGGAUGCCCUGGCAGUCAGAGGCGAUGAAGGGCGUGCUAAUCUGCGAUAAGCGCCGGUAAGGUGAUAUGAAGCGUUAUAACCG
rnacentral:rRNA from 1 species